rnacentral:rRNA from 1 species
UACGUAGGGGGCAAGCGUUGUCCGGAUUUAUUGGGCGUAAAGCGCGUGUAGGCGGCCACACAGGUCCGCUGUGAAAACUCGAGGCUCAACCUCGAGCUGUCGGUGGAAACCGUGUGGCUAGAGUCCGGAAGAGGAGACUGGAAUUCCCGGUGUAGCGGUGGAAUGCGCAGAUAUCGGGAGGAACACCGAUGGCGAAGGCAGAUCUCUGGGCCGUAACUGACGCUGAGGAGCGAAAGCAUGGGGAGCGAACAGG